UCGAGCGCAGGAAGCAAGUUGAUCCCCUUCGGGGGUGACGCUUGUGGAAUGAGCGGCGGACGGGUGAGUAACACGUGGGCAACCUGCCUGUAAGACUGGGAUAACCCCGGGAAACCGGGGCUAAUACCGGAUAAUACUUUCUUUUGCAUAAAGGAAAGUUGAAAGGCGGCUUCGGCUGUCACUUACAGAUGGGCCCGCGGCGCAUUAGCUAGUUGGUGAGGUAACGGCUCACCAAGGCGACGAUGCGUAGCCGACCUGAGAGGGUGAUCGGCCACACUGGGACUGAGACACGGCCCAGACUCCUACGGGAGGCAGCAGUAGGGAAUCUUCCGCAAUGGACGAAAGUCUGACGGAGCAACGCCGCGUGAGUGAUGAAGGUUUUCGGAUCGUAAAACUCUGUUGUUAGGGAAGAACAAGUUGGGUAGUAACUGACCCAACCUUGACGGUACCUAACCAGAAAGCCACGGCUAACUACGUGCCAGCAGCCGCGGUAAUACGUAGGUGGCAAGCGUUGUCCGGAAUUAUUGGGCGUAAAGCGCUCGCAGGCGGUCCUUUAAGUCUGAUGUGAAAUCUCGCGGCUCAACCGCGAACGGUCAUUGGAAACUGGAGGACUUGAGUACAGAAGAGGAGAGUGGAAUUCCACGUGUAGCGGUGAAAUGCGUAGAGAUGUGGAGGAACACCAGUGGCGAAGGCGACUCUCUGGUCUGUAACUGACGCUGAGGAGCGAAAGCGUGGGGAGCGAACAGGAUUAGAUACCCUGGUAGUCCACGCCGUAAACGAUGAGUGCUAGGU
rnacentral:rRNA from 1 species